UCAGACAAGACAGAGAAGUUACAGUACAAAAACAUAAACCAUAAAGAUCAGGUGCUACAAACAUCUGAGGUUCUGCUGCUGUAGAAAAGUAACUGUAUCCCAUCACUUCUGUCCUAAAAACACCAAUGUUACAUUGUUCUGUUGCAACUCCUUUUCAUGGAAUGUACACAAUUUAUUGGUGUGAGCAAAGUGUCUCUUUGUUCAGUCGACUUUCAACAUAAUCCAUUUGCUCUGGGGGAUAGCAGAAGAAGCAAGAAACUGAAAAUACGACUCAGAUUUCAGGAUGUGGCAAUGUAUCCAUUUGGCCCUUACUGCAAGAUAUGGCACCCACCUAAUAGCCACAAUCCCCAGCAAAAUCCUCUUUACACAAUAUGGCAUGUGUUUUUACUGUCAAGACUUAGAAUGGAAGAAAUAGCCAGAGGUAAGAAGAUGACAACAAGGAAUGUGUUGAUGUUGCGACAAAAUGCAUUCCACACCUGGUGCUCAUGCUAUUGCUUUUUAGGCGGAUGUAGUGAAGAUCUUUUUGUUCUCCAAAGCCUCAUAAUUUUCAUUAUAGUGGUAGAUCACUUUUACUGUUUUUAGAACGUUGCACUAAGUUAUUCCCCUUACUGGGUUUAUGUUGGUUUUAAAUUGUUUUUAGCUGUUGUGCUUGCAUUGGUUUUAGCUGAUUUGAUUUAUUUGUAUUCUGUUUCAUUUGAUUUUAUCAUUUAAAUUCUGCAUUGUAUUUUGCAUUUUUAAUGGUCUGCAAACUUCCCAGAGAACUCAGUUAUAGGUAUGGUAUCUUACUGUAGCAAAUAAAUAAAUCCUAAAUGGCUUCAGUCCUGUAUACCUGAAGGAGCAUCUCCAUCCCCAGACACUGAGAUCCAGUGCUGAGGGCCUUUUGGUGGUUCCCUCAUUGUGAUGUUACAGGGAACCAGGCAGAGCAGCUUCUCAGUAGUGGUGCCCACCCUCCCAUCAGAUGUCAAGGAAAUAAACAACUAUGUUUAGAAGACAUCUGAAGGCAGCCCUGUCUAGAGAAGUUUUUAAUGUUUGAUGCUUUACUGUGCUUGAUGUUUUAAUCUAUUGGAAGCCGCCCAGAAUGGCUGGCACAACUCAGUCAGGUGGGCAGCUUAUAAAUAAUAUAUUAUUUUUGUGAGAGUCAUAGUUAAGAACAGUUGUGAAAUAGAACACCAUGUUCAAAAUAAAUUGAAUUUUAUUCUCUGAGCAUCUGGGAUGGUCUAGAUAAAGAGCCCUAGCAAGCAUGGCCAAUAGCCAGAAAUGAUGGGCGCUAUAGUUCAAGAACAUCCGGAGGGCCAAAGAUUCCCCACAUUUGGCCUAGAUCUAGAAAACGUCUCAACUCUCACACCUUUCUACAUAAUUCUUCUGAAUUAUUUUCUUUCCCUUUCUCUCUCUCUCUGGUUAGAGAGUCACCAGAGGAAUGCUCAUGAUUAGGUCUUGCAGAACCACUUGGAAAGGACAGCACUACACUGUAGAUCUGAAUAAUUUCAUUCACAGCCGUAAGGAGUCACAAGAAGUGUAUCCCAUUCAAGUUCGGCCAGUUUAUCGCCCCCUCAAUCAAAUGGUGCAAUUCCUAAAAAACAGCAGCAUGACAGAGCAGAGUUGAGAUGAACAUUGUCGCCGCACCAUACCAUCUGCUAUUUACUCCACACAUGGGGAUAAGAAUAUUAGCCUGCUGUGAGAAUUACUGAUAAAAUGAAUGUGAAGUGCUUUGAGCAUUCAGGAAAUGAGGUUUGGCUAUUAUAAUUAAAAAUACUCAACAAAGGAUCAUCACAGAUAUACUGAAAGAAACAUAAGGAAAAUAAUGAGGGAGAGAAAGAGAGACUUCAUGGACCAGAAUGGUGCAUGCUGGUAAGGAAUCUUUUCUCUUGGCAGAAAUCCAAGGAUCAAAAUGUAGGCUUCAGCAGCUGUGCCUCUUGGAAAACCAGCGACUGUGGAGAAUAAAACACUUCAUCAUCAACUUCUUCUGGCUUUCUGGGACCUGAUUUGAGGUGUUGCAUCUUUCCACAGCAUCUCACAAAGCCUGGCUGGAUGCCAUCUUCAUGGAGUAUCCAGAGGCCCUGCUCUUCUAUAACUGGCCAAGCAAUGCUUGGGCAUGGACAGUUUAUGCUAUAAACUACAGAACUAGUUUUUCCUCCUGAUUUCAUUCUGAGGAAUCUUCUGAGAAGAUUCUGUGUACAAACAAAACACGCAAAGGCAAAUACUGAAAAACAGGAAGGAAAAGAACUUGUGACACACUGAUCUGCAGCCACCCACAACAAAUAUUUGAUGUCUUCAGCUGAAUAAUUUUGCAGUGUGAGAAGGUCCCGGGCUUUCAACUGGGUGGGAGUUUUAGUAGGUUGUGGCCCAUGCCUGUAUCUCCAAGGGUAAUGACAAAAGAAGUUCAACUACCUCAUAAUUCAGAAUUUUGUAUUCUGAAAUAACCACUGUCAAGUUGUGGUCCCAGAUUAUUGGCUCAAAGGCACAAUGCUCUACAAAUGCAUGGCACCAGGAUACAAGUGAACAGUUGAGUAAAUAAUCAAGAAAAAUAAAAGAAUUUGUUGUUCUUCAGUAUUAUAUAUGCAUAUUGCUACUAUGGAAACAUGUGAAGAAUUACACUUGGGGAAACCAUUGCUGAUGUGUGCAUGGGGUAGGGGGAGAAUCUGCCUCUGUUUGCACUAUGUGGCACUGUCACUACCUUUACCAUGAGUGGCUGGGGAAACUCAGCCAGAUGGGUGGGGAAUAAAUAAUAAAUUAUUAUUAUUACUAUUACUA